UACGUAGGGGGCAAGCGUUGUCCGGAUUUAUUGGGCGUAAAGAGCGUGUAGGCGGCCAGACAGGUCCGUUGUGAAAACUCGAGGCUCAACCUCGAGAUGUCGAUGGAAACCGUCUGGCUAGAGUCCGGAAGAGGAGUGUGGAAUUCCUGGUGUAGCGGUGAAAUGCGCAGAUAUCAGGAAGAACACCUAUGGCGAAGGCAGCACUCUGGGACGGUACUGACGCUGAGACGCGACAGCGUGGGGAGCAAACAGG
rnacentral:rRNA from 1 species